CUGAACCAGCCAAGUAGCGUGAAGGAUGACUGCCCUAUGGGUUGUAAACUUCUUUUAUACGGGAAUAAAGUGAGCCACGUGUGGCUUUUUGUAUGUACCGUAUGAAUAAGGAUCGGCUAACUCCGUGCCAGCAGCCGCGGUAAUACGGAGGAUCCGAGCGUUAUCCGGACUUAUUGGGUUUAAAGGGAGCGUAGAUGGAUGUUUAAGUCAGUUGUGAAAGUUUGCGG
rnacentral:rRNA from 1 species